AUCCUUUUGUAGUUCGUGUGAUGAUUGGGUUUGCGUGCGCAUGUGUGAGAUGUGCCUCCCUCCAAUCUUGUUACAACGUUGGCACAUUACUCAUCUGACA